GCUACAUACAGAGGAAGGCUUCCACGACGGCAACGUUAUGGGGGCCUUUUUUCUUUUGCG
rnacentral:antisense_RNA from 2 species